rnacentral:pre_miRNA from 10 species
GAUGUGGUCACUGUACUGCCAUCUUUCGCGAGAUAUGUUUGAUAUUGUUGGUGGUUUCUUGUCGAUAUCUCACCCAAUACCAAACAUGUCACUCGAACAAGCUACACAACACGAUUAUUAUAA